GUGAGGUGCGCAAAAAAUUCUUUUACCUGUUCCUCGAAUAGAAAUACGGAUGCAUAGAAAGCGAAUGUAAACAAGAUGAACUUACCUGACCUGAGGUAAAGGAGUCGAGUUUUAUCAAAAGGAUACAAUUAAGAAAAUGAAAAAUAUUAAUCCUAUAAGUACAUACACGAGAGAGAAGAAACAAAACAAGGGAGCAUGCUCUGUCUGAAAAGAAAAUGUAAAAGGAUUCCUUGCGCUACUUGGUCGACGAUAGGAUUCAGAAUUGUUGGAGUUGUGGGAUGUUAGUAAAGGAUCGAAAGGACACAGAAAGUC